GGGCCUGGGCGGAGGGCGAGGCACCGCCGCAGGGGUGAGAGCCGCUCUGUGCCCACACAG
rnacentral:miRNA from 1 species